rnacentral:lncRNA from 1 species
UUGUCUGUAUGCAUAUUUCUAUAUGGAUUUGGGUCCCCCUCCACCUCCUUCCUCUCUUCUCUCUCCUAUGCAGAAACUUUGCCAGCAGUGUUGACAGCACCUAUGAGUAUUGGGAAGGUUACUGGAACAAGGAUGAAAAAGAGAGCUCCUCUCCUUGUUUUUUUUUUCCUGCUCAUCUCACGUGCACCAUAUCCUUCUCUUUCUCUAUAUUACCCUCUCAGCAUAAAUUCACCUCUAAAAAAAUCCAACAAUUUACCCCUUCCUCCGUGUACAAAACACAUACUAUAUGCUGCUAUAUAAAAGCUAUAAGAAUAAGUGGUGGCUGUCAUUGGAAUGCAACACUGUGAUAUUUCUUAAGUUGCAUUUAGAGAGGUGAAGGUAGUUAGUUUAGCUAGCAGUUAAAGGGAAAUGGCACUACAAGCACUAUCUUCUAAUGAGUUCUUGAACUUCAUACUCUAUGACACUAUCUCCGCUACCCCGUGUAGCAGCCAUGCCUCGCUAGAGACAACAAGUUUAUUGUUAGAGAAUUUGAAACCUCAAGACCAUGGUGUUUCUGUAAAUAGCUCCUCCCUAAUGAAUGGACAGAGAUGCUCGAUGGGACGAGAAGCAGACAACAGGAGGCAUAAUUUAUUAGCUGUGCAAGGAAAGAAGAAAAGAAGGAGAAAGCCAAGAGUUUGUAAGAACAGGGAAGAUGCCGAGACACAAAGGAUGACACACAUUGCUGUGGAGAGGAAUAGGAGGAAACUGAUGAAUGAGCAUCUUGCCGUUUUGAGAUCUCUCAUGCCUGAAUCUUAUGUUCAAAGGGUUCGUUUCUAAUUGUUUCCUGCAACUACCUCCCAUGUGUUCUCUUGCUCCUUUUCUAUAAUGGCAUGCAGAUACCUUAAUUAAUUAGUGAUCAUUCAUGAAGAAGUUGUUCUGAAUAUUAUUGUUUUUGCCAACCUUUUGUUGUAGAAAUUUGGUAACUCUCCCUAGACCUUAGUGGACAGUUCUAGGCACAUGAAUAUCUAUGGAUAACUUUGCAGCUUGGGGUCUAUGGAUAUCUCAUAUUCAAGCAUAUACAUUUUAAGAAAAAACAGUUGCAAUUGUUAAUUAGGUGAAUUUUAGUUUAGAUGUCAGUGUUAAUUUUAGGAACAAUUGGAUUUUGUUUUUUGAAAAUUUGAGACUUGUCGGAUGAAAGAGACCGUAAAGCAGCACUCAGAACCCAGUCACAUGUAUCUGAAAAUACUGGCUCCACCACUGCAUUUUGCUCCUUUUUUUUCUUACAUAAUUCUUUUAUUUUCACUUGAGAAAAAGCAAUAUUAUAGAGACUCUAGAGCAAGUGUUCAUCCGUGGUGCUGCUGGUGAUUAAUCUGGAUUUAUUUGAUAUGCAAGGUUAAAAUUUUAUCUCUUUUAUUUUCCUUGCUACCUGCCUGCAUGUACUCAUCACGUUUGCUAAAAACUUUCUUAAAGUGCAGGGUGACCAGGCUUCUAUAGUGGGUGGUGCCAUUGAGUUCGUGAAGGAGUUGGAGCACCUUCUACAAUCCCUUGAAGCUAAGAAGCUCAAACUAAAGCAAGGAUUAACAGGACCUAAUUACAGCACUGAAAAUGCCACCACAACCGCAGAGUUUCCACCGCCACCCUUUUCCCAAUUUUUCGUGUGUCCUCAGUACACUUGGUCUCAAAUUCCUAGCAAGUUUACGUCAAAGACUGCGGCAUCCAUAGCCGAUAUUGAGGCCACUUUGAUUGAAACUCAUGCAAAUCUACGAAUUCUCUCAAGAAGAAGCCCUAGACAACUUUCAAAGUUAGUUUCUGGAUUUCACACGCUUUACCUCACUGUCCUCCACAUCAAUGUGACCACCAUGGACCCAUUGGUUCUCUACUCAAUCAGUGCCAAGGUAUGUACAGUCAAUAUAACUUGUACUAUUGUUUGCACAAUUUUGCGCAUUUAAGUCUUUCUUCACUUUAUUUAUGGGCCCUUGCAUAAAAGAAUAAGAAAAUUCGAAUCCUACCAAUAUAUUCCUUUUGUCCCUUUGGGUGCCAUCUCUAUCAGUAUAUAGCAUUUUUAUUCAAAGGAGAUUUUAUAUCAUGUUCAGAAAAAUGUAGUCACUUCCACCGAUUAAAUAUUAUUGAACAUGUUACAUUGAUCAUGAUGGGUCGUGUAUUUCAUUCUGAAAGCAUGAACUAGCAAAUGACCCCGCAGUAAUGAAAUUGAUGGCGAGGAAAUCUGUAGCCAUUUCAUAAGCAACGGUCUUCAAUUAUUGUCGUAUGGGGUAGAAUGGGCAGGGCGAGGAUACUUUCUAGUAUUUUCGGGGUUUCCUAAGUUUAGAAAUGCUUGUCUCUUUUGCCUGUUCUACACAAAAUGAAUCAGUUCUCGACUAAAUUUGGAACAUUCUUAAUGCAGCUCGAAGAAGGAUGCCAACUCACAUCAGUAGAUGACUUAGCAGGAGCAGUCCACCACAUGCUUAGAAUAAUUGAGCAAGAAGCUGCCAUAUGUUAAUCAAUUAGUCAUCAUCUAUCCAAAAUGCCCAUUGAUUUGGAACAAAACCACCAUAAUGCCACCCACUUUUCCCUAUUGCAAUGAAGUUUCUGGCCUUCUUUCUUAGGUCUUUCAAAGUGUUUUUAGUGUAGUUGUGUUUGGUUCCUCCUGGACAUAACUGUUGACCUGUAAUUCUUAAGUUGUAAUAAUGGUGUUUUCAAACAGAAAUGAAAUGGGACGAUGGGGGCUACAAUGGGAUUUGGGCAGCCUGGCCAUGAUGGUAAGGAUCUGGCAUGCGAAGGUAUCUGUUUCAAAGAGUACUGAAAAUUAAAUGUGAAUUAUAUGCAGGAUAAGAGUGCAUUUUCUUCUCUUAACCUUUUUGGUUCUUUGUACAACUUCUUUCUUUUAACCUGAUUCUCUGGAUUUGCAUGUGAGAUCUCGAUCUAUACCUGAUUGGCCAGGGUACUUCUUCCAUUAGAUUGCGCUAGAUUAACCGAAUUUGCAUGGCUUUUACCUUUUACCAAGAACAGAAAAACACAGGAUUUUUUUGGAUGUCCGACAAUAUCAAGUAAUUAUGAGGCCUAUUUGUGACCUCUCCAACAAAACCUUUUAGAAAACCAUGCACUACAGGAUCGGUUAAGCUAGAUAUAUAUAGGUUUCAUCUUGCUGCCUUCCUUUUAUCUUCUUAUCAUGAAUUGCCAUGAUCUUGUGAUUCUUAUUAAUUAAUCUUCUACUUAUACUUGGGUGAUCGAAUGGUCAGCUUCAAUGUUAGCGGGAAAAGAAAAUAUCAUGAUCCUCUCUCAAUGAAACAUAAUAUGAUAGCAGAAAUUAAGAGCAGCAAAAAAAUGUCUAAUGGUUAGCUCUCUAGAUUACUAAUAAUUAAUAUUUAUUUAUAGGCGUCAAUGCCGCCUUACUAUGUGAGCAAAAUCAUGGAAGAGGACGAAAAUUGUACGCAUUCAUGGGGUAACAACGCAAAGAUAACCCUUUUGUUCAAGAGCAACGGAUCUCUUAUGAAGUUGCUAGAGAUGGAAACUAUCAAGCAGGACGGCAUAAAUUAUAUAAUUACGCUGAUAUUCAUAAUGAACUAAAUCUUGAAAAUGGUGAUUCCAGAUCAAAGUCAUCAUAGAAUUUUUUUUAUUAAAUCCAUAUAUAAUUAGUUGCUUCAUCAUGUAAAUAAGCCCUUAAUAAUUAAUUAAGAACGUUAUCACCACAAACGCGCUAUGGCUUGUUCUUUCUUCGUAAAAAGAUAAACGGAAGGUUGACAUUGUACAAGGUGGUGGUGGUCUUGGAAAAGGUGAUGAGUUUUUGUAGUUCAGACCUUAGAAGUAAAAAGUUUUUGUGGGAUCGAUGCAUUUUACCUUAUUCAUUGAUUCUUAGCUCCCAAUUUUGUUCUUUGUGGAGGAUAAAUCUGAAUUCUAAUUAAAACACAUGUCUUCUAGUGUAGCAAGACAGAGACAUGGCUGACCCUAACGUAUGAUUCAUAGAGAAAAGAGAGAAAUGGGAUCUUAUCACUUAGGUACAGUCACGAACGUGGUCCAAUUUUAUGCUCUGUGUAAUCUUCAUGAAUCGCAAGACUCUUUACUAGAUAGCUGAUAAGUUAAGAUGUUGAGAUUUAUAUCAGGAGUUUGCCCUAAUAUGGAUAGCAUUUAAUUGAUUUUGUGCUAAUUCUUGCAUUACCUUCGGCUUUCUAGCAGCUCUAGUUUCAACAAAUAUUACCCUUGAAGUUGAUAGUUUUAUUCUGUAAAGAUACCAUCUGAGCAAUUUUGUUUGUUUGUUUCUUGUAUAUUUGUUUUCCUAUUCCCUAGCUCGUUAAUUAUGAUAUUUAUAUAUAUUCUAAAUUAAUUUACAAAAUUACUUGAUAUUCCAAUCAAAGCAAACCAAUCGCUAACACCAUACACGAAUACCUACACAUGCAAGUUUGUCUAACAAUUGAGUAUUCGUAGGUUUUUUCCUUCUUUUUUCUAUUGAAGUAGAUUGCAGUUGAAUAACUCUAAUUUCAUUAAUAGAAAAAUAGAAAAGUUACCUUAUCAAGUAGUCCUUUGAAAGCAAAAACAAAAUGGAGCUAUCUUUCUGUAUGAUCUUGUCAAAAAAAAAAAAAACUCUAUCCAAAAUGUUUUUGUUUCGCAUGGAUUUAUUAAUUUAAUAAGAGAGAUUAUAGCUUCUAACCUACUUGAUUAGAAAAUCUUUGAUAUUAUAUUAAAAAUUAUAUUAAUUUAAAAACUUUAAGAUGUUAGAUAGUCUAAGAAAUAUUUUUAUAUUAUUUUUUGAUAAAUUUAAAUAUAAUUAUCAGACUCAAAUCUAAGAUAUAAAUUAUAAAGAGUUAAAUAAAUGGGACAUCCACUCAUAAGUCAAUUCAUUUUUUUUUUAACGAAAAACUAAAACAAGGUUAUUUUCAUAUAUAUAUAUAUAUAUAUAUAUAUAUAUAUAUAUAUAUAUAUAAACAAAGCGUUGACCCUAUUAAAUAUAUAUGAAAUUGGGUUAGAUGGGUCAACUGAAUUUAUCCUUUUAAACUUAACACAAGUGAGGCUGCAAGCCAACUCAUUAUAUGGGCCCGGUUAGAUAACACUGAUCUAAAAGGGGAAGAAAGAAUACAUGUUCUAACUAAUAUAAGGUCCACAUCGACGGUAAAGCCCUUGAGACAGAUUCAGUACAGCCCAUUUAUAUAGGACCGAAUGAACCCAUUGGGCCCCCAAUAACUAAAAUAAGCAAGUUGCGGUUUUAUUGAUAGACAUGCCAUCUCAUUCCCAGUGACCCAUUCAGAACCAUACCCCAGCCUGGCAUGUCUAUUUAUGAGCAUGGUUUCCCCUUUCUUUCUUUCUUUCUUUUUUCUUUUUUUUUUUUCUCCCUUCUAUCCUUUUUAUCCCACUUGAAUUUUAAAUUCAUGACACUAAACGUUAAGGAAAAAAAAAAACCUUUGUAGGAGGUUUCUGGGAUUUGGAUGCAUUCGUUCCUAUGCUGAAUAUUAAUUACUGCAUGAAAGAACUGCUAACUAAAGGUCUGGAUAACGGUUGUUUUUCAAAUAAUUUUUCGUGUAGAAAUAUAUGUCAAUAAUAUUUUUUUAUUUUUUAAAAAUUAUUUUUUAUAUCAACACAUCAAAACGAUUCAAAAAAUAUAAAUCACAUUAAAUUUUAAUAAAAAAUUUUAAAAUUUUUAUUGAAAACACGGUUUGCACCGCGUUUCCAAACGUGCUCAAGGGUGCUGCCUGGGAGUGGGCUGACUUUGAAUGCGAAGAACUUCCCGCCUUCUAAUGACCGUACAGAAGCUAGUACAUGCUUUAUCGUACAUCAAGCAUCACCUCGAGAAGAGGCCACAUCAACAGCCAAAAACAUUCUCCGUUCUAAGAAUGUAGAUGGUAUUAGGAUGAUGAUGCUCAAAUUAAUUAAGCUAUUGCAGAACUGUACCCUCUAAGACUUUAGCAAUCACAGUACCCUUGUAACUCAAUAUGAGGGGACAAAUUAUUUGAAGGCUUUGGGAAAUUUGAAUGACAAGAUGCAUGUAUGUAGCAACCGAGCUUGCUCAAGUAUUGACGAUUUAAUUAUAACAAGCUGUUAAUCACCCUGUUGUGUGUUCCGACCAUGGAGGUUAGUGCUGUAAUACCAUUUUAACUGCAACAUCAUCAAGGCGUGAUAUGUUCACACACGGAUACCAGUAGUCGUUUGUAAGAGAGUGGUGUGAUGAUAAAGAAUUUAAAAUUUGUACAUCAAUCGAGUUCGAAUUAAAAUAUAUAUUUCUUUCAAAAAUAUAAAAAACCAGGAUUUUAGAAUUUAUAAAAUACGGUUUACUCGAAUCCAUAAAAAAGUAUAGCAGUAGUCGUCAUUAUCACAUAUCCAGCCACUAGCUAGCCAUUGCAAUUGGUCAGCCGCAUGAUGAACGGCCCAGAUAACAGAGAUUAUCAUUUUGCAGGGUAGAAAUAAACGUUGAGUGGAAUGUGUAUGGUAUGCUAUGGGUUGUGAAGCGCACAAGCUAAAACGCUUAUAUUGGGUCUAAAAUAGUAAUCUCCCCCUUGAGAAUCUACUGUACGUGAGCCCAGUCAAUUUUUACUGCAAAAUCCAACUCAGAAUUGAACGUGAGGAGUAGCUGCUUGUGUUGUCUGUAUGCAUAUUUCUAUAUGGAUUUGGGUCCCCCUCCACCUCCUUCCUCUCUUCUCUCUCCUAUGCAGAAACUUUGCCAGCAGUGUUGACAGCACCUAUGAGUAUUGGGAAGGUUACUGGAACAAGGAUGAAAAAGAGAGCUCCUCUCCUUGUUUUUUUUUUCCUGCCCAUCUCACGUGCACCAUAUCCUUCUCUUUCUCUAUAUUACCCUCUCAGCAUAAAUUCACCUCUAAAAAAAUCCAACAAUUUACCCCUUCCUCGGUGUACAAAACACAUACUAUAUGCUGCUAUAUAAAAGCUAUAAGAAUAAGUGGUGGCUGUCAUUGGAAUGCAACACUGUGAUAUUUCUUAAGUUGCAUUUAGAGAGGUGAAGGUAGUUAGUUUAGCUAGCAGUUAAAGGGAAAUGACACUACAAGCACUAUCUUCUAAUGAGUUCUUGAACUUCAUACUCUAUGACACUAUCUCCGCUACCCCGUGUAGCAGCCAUGCCUCGCUAGAGACAACAAGUUUAUUGUUAGAGAAUUUGAAACCUCAAGACCAUGGUGUUUCUGUAAAUAGCUCCUCCCUAAUGAAUGGACAGAGAUGCUCGAUGGGACGAGAAGCAGACAAUAGGAGGCAUAAUUUAUUAGCUGUGCAAGGAAAGAAGAAAAGAAGGAGAAAGCCAAGAGUUUGUAAGAACAGGGAAGAUGCUGAGACACAAAGGAUGACACACAUUGCUGUUGAGAGGAAUAGGAGGAAACUGAUGAAUGAGCAUCUUGCCGUUUUGAGAUCUCUCAUGCCUGAAUCUUAUGUUCAAAGGGUUUGUUUCUAAUUGUUUCCUGCAACUACCACCCAUCUGUUCUCUUGCUCCUUUUCUAUAAUGGCAUGCAGAUACCUUAAUUAAUUAGUGAUCAUUCAUUAAUUACGUUAAGGAAAAAAAAAACCUUUGUAGGAGGUUUCUGGGAUUUGGAUGCAUUCGUUCCUAUGCUGAAUAUUAAUUACUGCAUGAAAGAACUGCUAACUAAAGGUCUGGAUAACGGUUGUUUUUCAAAUAAUUUUUCGUGUAGAAAUAUAUGUCAAUAAUAUUUUUUUAUUUUUUAAAAAUUAUUUUUUAUAUCAACACAUCAAAACGAUUCAAAAAAUAUAAAUCAGUUGCAUGGGAACUCCUUUCCCCCAUUAAUCACUUGCAUGUAUGCCUACGUCUCUCCAAAGUAAAUAUCAGUAGCCUCCACUUCUCCUAGAUUUUCCAUUACCAGCAUCGCCAGCGCACUCCGCCGUCAUCAAAUCUUUUUCCCUCCUGGCCGGCAGGCAGCUACGCCGAAUGCGGCCACAAAGAAUUUCUCAGAGUGGGAUUCUGUGAUCACUGUAAUCCUCUUGAAUUUUCCUCUUAUUUAUUUUUCCCUAUUUUGUUCAAGUGUUGUUGGCAGGCUUUCUAAUUUCUAUUGCGUGAUGUGGAAAGAGUGAAAGGGGCCACAAUACAGGUAAGAAAAGAAGAAUACUUGAGGGGAGACAAAGACAUAAUUAUUCAACUCACUCUAAGGUUCCAUUUUCUACUCUCAGUGCAUCGAAGCACCGCUUUGUGGACCCAAGCAAAUGGUCUUUAGAUUCCACUGGCGAUAUUGAGCAUAUAUUUUCCCAUUUUAAUUAAAAUUAGCAUCGUUUUCUUUUAUCGUUCAACGGAGGUGACUAAGGCUUUCAGCGAUAGUGGGGCCUAAUAUACCAACAAGACAGAAUUUAGCUAUUGGUUCCUGCUGAGACUUUGAGACAUUCAUUUAAAAAAAAAACAAAAGGUCCUAGGUAAAUGGUAUUAGAGUAUAUGUAAUACAGCUAAACAUUUGGUUGUGCGAGAUUUAUGUAAAAAUAUAUUUAUUAUCAAUAAGUAUAUUAUUUAUUUUUAAUAUUUAUUUAUGUUUUAUAAUAAAAAAAUUCGUAGAAUAAAAAUAUUUUGCAAAUAAAAUUAUAAAUUGAUUAUGAUUAUGAAAUUUUUAUUGCAUCAAAGUAUUGUUCUUAAUUGAUAUUCUAAUAAAACUAGAUAUUAAUUAGAGUUAUUAAGAUCAAUAUAUAUAUUAUAUUUUAUACUUUUGAAUGAUGAAAAGAUAAUAAUUACACUGAAAAAAUAAUCAUAAUAAAAUCAAAUCAAAUCAGUUCUAUAAAUAGAAUAUUAUAUUUUAUAUAGAUUAUACAAUAUUCUAAUAUGACCAGAUGAAAAUACACCUUAAAACACAAAAAGUUAAAUUACUAUCAACAGAAAAUGCUUGGAAAUAUGAAAUCCAGUUAUUUAUUUAUUUUAUCAACAAUGAAUAUAGCCUGAUAUAGAUAGCUUACUCAUCAUGACAUUUAGAUAUUAUCAUGUUUAUUUGCUAAAAAAUAAUUUUAAAAAAAAUAAAUUCCUAGAAAGUUAAGUAUUUUUCAAUGUUUAGUAGUAUCAUGAAAAAGAAGUUAGAAAAAACUUUUUAGUGUUUGACUAAAUCAUGAAAAAUAAGCUGAAAAAUAAUCUAUUAAUAUUUUUUUUACUUUUAUUAAAAGAAUAAGAAUAAAAUCUUACAGAUAAAAAAGUUGGAGAAUGAAAUUAAAAAAAUAUAUAAUUUUUUAAAUUAUUUCAAAUAAAAUAAAUAAUAAUUAAAAUAAUAAAGACCAAAUUUGACAAAUAAAAAAAUUGAAAGAUUAUGAAAUAAAAAAAAUUAUUUCACAAAUUAUUUCAAAUAAAAUAAAUAAUAAUUAAAAUAAUGAAGACCAAAUCUGACAAAUAAAAAAAUUGAAAGAUUAUGAAAUUAAAAAAAAUACAAUUUCAUUUAUUUUCAAAUAAAAAUAAAUUGCAAUAAGAAAUAUAGACCAAUAUGAUAGAUAAAAAAAAUCAAUGAGAAAAUGAAGAAAAGAAAAAUAAAAAAAAAGAGAAGGAUCAAGGUUUAUAUCAAAUUUAAAGGAUAAAAUUGAAAAUAAAAUAAAAAAAAUAUAUAACAAUAAAAAGAUUAAGAACCAAAUUUGAGAUAACCAACAAAUAACAAGAUAUUUAUGAAACUUCUACAAGAAAGUAUUUCCGCUCAAAAUAAGAUAAAAUACUUUCAUGAAAAUCAAUCUAAAUUUUUCAUUAACUAUAAAUCUUUUUAUUAAUUAAUUUUACCUAUAAUAAAUAAUUUGUUUUAAAAAAAAACAAUUUUUCAUCAACCGAAACAAAGAAGCCUGGGUAUGUACUUGGGAGUCGGCGCGAAGAUACAGCAAAGACUACUCUUAAAAGCGUAAUGUGUGUGAGAACCAAGAACUCUGUUUCCUUCUGAAGAAGCAACCACCUCCUAACCUUGUGGACCUUCUCCCUUCUUUUCAUUUUCACUUUCUCAAGUGCUCUACUUUCCCUUCUCCAAAGUCACCCAUUUCCACACCCUUAGUGACCUUAUAAUAACCUUACACGUGUAUAUAUAUAUAUAGUACUAAUAUUAGAUUAUUAAUCAUCAUAGCGACUUGCAGGUUUCCAUAAAGUCCCAAAGCACGCAUCUCAACUCUCCAUGAUGCCCAUGGCAAUUAGAAACAAGCAAGGUAUCUCGACAUAAACGGGGCUUCAGCAAUCAUGUGUUCGAUUUUUAUUCACAGAUAUAUGCUAUUUGAAAGUGAAGCCACCUCCUUCACUUUCCUCAUCGUUUUCCGGGUCAUCAAGUAACCAACCAAAAAAAACCUGUUGAUGCUGACUAGGAUCAAGAUGGCAUUGAACCUCUCCUAACCAGCAAGAACCACCCAUCUUUUGAGAGAGAGAGAGAGCAUAUGAUCCUUUGGGAAAAUCAUGUCGUUUUAAAUGCCAUGUGGUCGUAAGAGUGUAUAAAGAAUCGGAGGGAUUCGACACUAUGAGGAUAGAUAUUAUGCAACAAUAGAAGGAAUAAUAUAUAGGAUACAAUCAACUUAGAGAAUCCCAUCUAAAAAACAUUAACUUACAUGUAAGGGCACAUGUAUAUUCGAUAUGAUUGCACAAAACUAUGGCAAAACUAGCUAAAAAUUAUGCAUUUAUGAGGGUAUAUGCUCGAUGAUAACUUCCAUGUAAGGGCAUAUGUAUAUUCGGUUUUUCUUUCAUUCAGUUUUUCUAAUUAUGAGACACAACAGAACGCAAGUGUGGAUUGUUGAAACAGCUUUUACCAGCCUAUCAAUUGAAUCUAUUCUCCUUUUCCUUCUUCUUGUAAGAAAAUUAACUUGGGACCUAUGCUAAUCACACCCCAACCUCUUAAAAUUAGAUAAAGGGAUUGAUUAAAAUUAGAACAUUUAUUUUAAUAACAUAUAGAAAAUUUAUCUUCAACGAUUAUAGAUAUUAGAAGAUGAAAUUCUUUAUCGUUCCUCUCAUUCGGUAUUGAAGACAAUACACAAGUCAACAUUCCUAUGAAACAGGGCACUUACAAGAACCUUGAAAGAGGCAACACUGCGACCGCAAGUCACCUGCUAGAACGGAAUUUUAAAAGCUAAUAAAAUCUCACCGUAAGCCUUGCUAACUACAAGCACGUAAGAGAUAUGAAGAUUUUGAAUCAAUAGUUUAAUCAUUUAUUUCUCAACCCAACCUUUUUGGAAUACUUACCUAAAUAAUUUAUUUAGCGGAUGCAAGGAACAUGCCAAAAAUCAAGUAUGCAGAUAUUAAACACAGGCUUUAAAAUAAAUGUCUUCAAAGGCUUUCUUUUCUUUCAAUUUGUUCCCCAAUUAUUCUUCAUCAUUGAAGGGUAGAAUUCCAUAACGACAUUAUACAGCUCUUCUGGAUUUUACAUCUAGAGGAUGGCUAACCUAAUAGGGGAGGCCUUCAUCCAUAAAUUCCCAUCCCUGGGUAAAAUUGAGAUGUGACCAUGAAUUUCUGACAAGGGUUCUGGCAUCUUCAUACCAUGUUUUCCAUAGACCCAUAUUUAUGUAGUUAGAGGAGCAAUACGCUGGUAGACCCUCAUAAUUUCUUUUCACAUACAUGCAUGAAGAAGCCAAUAUUGAAUUUUAAAUAAUAGCCUUCAAGACCUCAAAACGAAGUUCCAGCUUGCUCAAGCAAGCAUUCUUCCUCAUUUACUCAAACAUGGGUUGUUUUAACAGGUAGUUCAAUUCUAACAGCUAAGCACCGUUUGACCAGCCAAUGUCGAUGAUACAAAAUGAGAAAGAAAAAAAGAAGGAAAAAAAAAGAGAAGAAGAUAAAUGCGGUAGCAGCACCUAAAAUCAUGUUCCAGCAAAGAAACUUGGAAAAGCGCUCCAUAAAAAAAAAGGUGGGAAAGAAACUUCGAUUAUGUAAUCAUAAAUUCAAAAUGGUGUGUUUGUACAUUUUUAAGGCUAUACAGACAGCAAAUUAAUAUAUUAUUUUAUAGAUGAUUUCACAAAUUAUUUCUAUAUAUAUUUGAUGGGGGAGGAGAGAUAAAGUUCUUGAGCAAAAUUAAAAAUAAUUUAAAAAGAAUAUAAAUGUAAUAAGAAAUGAUAAAUGUGAAGAAUACAAAACAUCAUUUAAUAAAUUAUAUUUUUAAAAUGAUAUUAUUCACCGAACUAUAUUUUUUUAUUUACUAUAAUAAAAUAACAUUGUGAAACGUAAAAAUUAAGCAUUAAAAAUAAUUAUUAAUACCAUGUUGAUAAAUAUGAGAUCACCUCUAAAAUUAUGAGAGAAGGCAAUUUUAAUGGUAAUUAUAUACUUAAUAAAGUAUCUUAUAAAAAAUUAGAAAAUAUAUCAUAUAAAUUAUACUAUAGUAUUAUUUUCACAAAAUAUCUAAUAUCAUGAGACUGAGAUAAACUCAUAGAAAGCAAACCAAAAACAAAUUAUAAAAUCUAAUUUCCUGUUAAUCUAAUAUUAAAUGAUGAAAUUGAAUUAGAGAACAAGAUAAACUUUAAGUCAACCAGAAUUAACAAGCUAAAUAUAUGAUUUGAAUCAUGAGAUCAUCAUAAUUUUAUAUAUAGAAAGAUAAUCAAAAUAAAAUAUAAAUCUAAUAUUAAAAAAAAAAAAGUAAACUAUAUUAAACUAAAAAAAGAUUUAAAAAAAAGCAAAGCUCUGUUCUAGGAAUCAAUUCGUAAGUAAGGAGGUAAAAAGUAAAAUCACCUCUUCUUUUAAUUUUUGUUAAUUAAUAAUUAUUCAUGAUUUGUUCUGUUUCUUUCUUUUCUUCCCUAUCUUAUACACGGUAUCCCUUUCCGAAAAGUUUAGCAUAGCUAAAAAAGAAUGUACAUUUUAAACAUUAUCGUAGCUUGCUUUAGUAGCUUGGAUGGAUCCAAAGAAAGGAACUAAAAACAGGCGGGCCAUAUGACUUAAAGCAGAUCCUGCAGUCGCUGUUUUUCAACAUCCAUCACUGGCACUCCACAUUUUCUUUUGUUCUGAUCAUUAUCUGAGUCCAGGAAGAAACCAAACCCAAAACAAAUCACCACGGAGAAUCCUCUCGCACUAAAAUGGCACUAAGCAAUAAUGUUAUUGGUGCUAUCAACUUUGUCGCCAUGCUUCUCUCCAUCCCGGUCAUCGGUGCUGGGAUUUGGCUAGCAACGGAACCAGACAACUCUUGUGUCAAGAUCCUUCAAUGGCCUGUCAUUAUCUUGGGAAUGCUAAUCCUGAAAGUAGCUCUUGCAGGCUUUGUAGGAGGUUUCUGGAGAAUCCCAUGGCUCCUUGUCUGGGAUUUGGAUGCAUUCGUUCCUAUGCUGAAUAUUAAUUACUGCAUGAAAGAACUGCUAACUAAAGGUCUGGAUAACGGUUGUUUUUCAAAUAAUUUUUCGUGUAGAAAUAUAUGUCAAUAAUAUUUUUUUAUUUUUUAAAAAUUAUUUUUUAUAUCAACACAUCAAAACGAUUCAAAAAAUAUAAAUCACAUUAAAUUUUAAUAAAAAAUUUUAAAAUUUUUAUUGAAAACACGGUUUGCACCGCGUUUCCAAACGUGCUCAAGGGUGCUGCCUGGGAGUGGGCUGACUUUGAAUGCGAAGAACUUCCCGCCUUCUAAUGACCGUACAGAAGCUAGUACAUGCUUUAUCGUACAUCAAGCAUCACCUCGAGAAGAGGCCACAUCAACAGCCAAAAACAUCCGUUCUAAGAAUGUAGAUGGUAUUAGGAUGAUGAUGCUCAAAUUAAUUAAGCUAUUGCAGAACUGUACCCUCUAAGACUUUAGCAAUCACAGUACCCUUGUAACUCAAUAUGAGGGGACAAAUUAUUUGAAGGCUUUGGGAAAUUUGAAUGACAAGAUGCAUGUAUGUAGCAACCGAGCUUGCUCAAGUAUUGACGAUUUAAUUAUAACAAGCUGUUAAUCACCCUGUUGUGUGUUCCGACCAUGGAGGUUAGUGCUGUAAUACCAUUUUAACUGCAACAUCAUCAAGGCGUGAUAUGUUCACACACGGAUACCAGUAGUCGUUUGUAAGAGAGUGGUGUGAUGAUAAAGAAUUUAAAAUUUGUACAUCAAUCGAGUUCGAAUUAAAAUAUAUAUUUCUUUCAAAAAUAUAAAACAACCAGGAUUUUAGAAUUUAUAAAAUACGGUUUACUCGAAUCCAUAAAAAAGUAUAGCAGUAGUCGUCAUUAUCACAUAUCCAGCCACUAGCUAGCCAUUGCAAUUGGUCAGCCGCAUGAUGAACGGCCCAGAUAACAGAGAUUAUCAUUUUGCAGGGUAGAAAUAAACGUUGAGUGGAAUGUGUAUGGUAUGCUAUGGGUUGUGAAGCGCACAAGCUAAAACGCUUAUAUUGGGUCUAAAAUAGUAAUCUCCCCCUUGAGAAUCUACUGUACGUGAGCCCAGUCAAUUUUUACUGCAAAAUCCAACUCAGAAUUGAACGUGAGGAGUAGCUGCUUGUGUUGUCUGUAUGCAUAUUUCUAUAUGGAUUUGGGUCCCCCUCCACCUCCUUCCUCUCUUCUCUCUCCUAUGCAGAAACUUUGCCAGCAGUGUUGACAGCACCUACGAGUAUUGGGAAGGUUACUGGAACAAGGAUGAAAAAGAGAGCUCCUCUCCUUGUUUUUUUUUUCCUGCCCAUCUCACGUGCACCGUAUCCUUCUCUUUCUCUAUAUUACCCUCUCAGCAUAAAUUCACCUCUAAAAAAAUCCAACAAUUUACCCCUUCCUCGGUGUACAAAACACAUACUAUAUGCUGCUAUAUAAAAGCUAUAAGAAUAAGUGGUGGCUGUCAUUGGAAUGCAACGCUGUGAUAUUUCUUAAGUUGCAUUUAGAGAGGUGAAGGUAGUUAGUUUAGCUAGCAGUUAAAGGGAAAUGGCACUACAAGCACUAUCUUCUAAUGAGUUCUUGAACUUCAUACUCUAUGACACUAUCUCCGCUACCCCGUGUAGCAGCCAUGCCUCGCUAGAGACAACAAGUUUAUUGUUAGAGAAUUUGAAACCUCAAGACCUUGGUGUUUCUGUAAAUAGCUCCUCCCUCAUGACUGGACAGAGAUGCUCGAUGGGACGAGAAGCAGACAAUAGGAGGCAUAAUUUAUUAGCUGUGCAAGGAAAGAAGAAAAGAAGGAGAAAGCCAAGAGUUUGUAAGAACAGGGAAGAUGCCGAGACACAAAGGAUGACACACAUU